rnacentral:rRNA from 1 species
CAAGUCGAGGGGCAGCAUGGUCUUAGCUUGCUAAGGCCGAUGGCGACCGGCGCACGGGUGAGUAACACGUAUCCAACCUGCCGUCUACUCUUGGACAGCCUUCUGAAAGGAAGAUUAAUACAAGAUGGCAUCAUGAGUCCGCAUGUUCACAUGAUUAAAGGUAUUCCGGUAGACGAUGGGGAUGCGUUCCAUUAGAUAGUAGGCGGGGUGACGGCCCACCUAGUCUUCGAUGGAUAGGGGUUCUGAGAGGAAGGUCCCCCACAUUGGAACUGAGACACGGUCCAAACUCCUACGGGAGGCAGCAGUGAGGAAUAUUGGUCAAUGGGCGCAGGCCUGAACCAGCCAAGUAGCGUGAAGGAUGACUGCCCUAUGGGUUGUAAACUUCUUUUAUAAAGGAAUAAAGUCGGGUAUGUAUACCCGUUUGCAUGUACUUUAUGAAUAAGGAUCGGCUAACUCCGUGCCAGCAGCCGCGGUAAUACGGAGGAUCCGAGCGUUAUCCGGAUUUAUUGGGUUUAAAGGGAGCGUAGAUGGAUGUUUAAGUCAGUUGUGAAAGUUUGCGGCUCAACCGUAAAAUUGCAGUUGAUACUGGAUAUCUUGAGUGCAGUUGAGGCAGGCGGAAUUCGUGGUGUAGCGGUGAAAUGCUUAGAUAUCACGAAGAACUCCGAUUGCGAAGGCAGCCUGUUAAGCUGCAACUGACAUUGAGGCUCGAAAGUGUGGGUAUCAAACAGGAUUAGAUACCCUGGUAGUCCACACGGUAAACGAUGAAUACUCGCUGUUUGCGAUAUACGGCAAGCGGCCAAGCGAAAGCGUUAAGUAUUCCACCUGGGGAGUACGCC